AAUGGUGCCGAUUCCUGCAAACACCAACUUAAAUCUAAAUUUAUCUUAGAAAACCUAAUUUUAAUUUAGUUUAGCAAAAAGUGCAAUUCUGGCUUUAUGGUCGUCUAAAUUUAAAAUAUUUUAUCAGGAUGUUUGACACGCUUAAAUUUAAUAGAACGUCUACGAGGUCUAUGGUCAACCAGCUGGUGUCGUUUUUUUCGUAAAGAAUUGGUAAAGAAGAAUGAAUGGAAGUGAGUGAAUGAAAUCGUCAUUUGAACAAAAAAAAUACAUGUUUUUCUUAUAAUUUCGUACGAAGGAAUACAAAAUCGUAAUUUAUGUGUGUUUUAGCAGCAAAUACAAUAAAUAAAUGCAAUAAAACAUUUUUCUAUGAAUUUUAAAACAUACAUCUGGCAUUAUUCUAAACCAUAAAAAACACAGCGUCAAGAUCAUACUUAAAAAAAAAAAACGUGUUGAGAUUAGGUAUCGUUAGGUUUUCAAAUCAAAAAUACUUAAUAAAACACAAAAAUGACUAAAUAAAAGGACGUCGAUGAAGAGGAAGACCAAGGCGGAACUAGUAAAAGUGGAAGUUGUGUUGUAUCAGAACGACGGAACUCGCUGUGAAUGCAUAUUAAAAGUCCUCAACCAACAAGACUCCUAUCUUCUUCUUCGUCGUUCCCUCACUGCUGAGGAUCGCGACCACAGGUUAUGGUUUUCCACUCGGUACGGCUAUAUGCAGCGUGCACCGCCCUCUGUAUGCUGCCGCCCACCGUCUUCUUCACGAUGUCAGACCACCUCGUAGGCGCCCUUCCUCGCGCACGUUUGCCAUCCAUUUGCCCAACGAUGAUCUGCUUCUCCAGACUGUGCUUCGGAGACCGCAUAAUAUGUCCGAAGAAGCUUAGGGCACGAUUCCGGCAUAUUGAGGAGAGCCGCGUCGUGAUCUUGAGCUCUUUUAAUAUGGACUCAUUCGUACACGUAAAUAGCCUUAAAUUACCAAGUAGAGAAAGUCCAGCAUGAGGUGAGCACGAAGUUUUGAAGACAGGAGUGAUUGUAUUAGAUUUCCUCCUGAGCAGUUGCACUACAAAUUUAGUGAUGAAGAGGCAAUACUUGACAGAAACCUUAAGUGGGAUGACAUAAUUAUAAAGAAAAUCAAUAAGAGGAUGAACUAUUUUAAUGUUUAUAAAACAAUAGUAUGGAAGAAUUUUGAUGCAUCUUGGAGCAAUGGCAACAUAUUUGGGAGUUGUGAGUGACAACGAGCAGAUUACAUAACAAUGGGAGGAUAACAAGGGCCUUAACUGAAAAAACUGGGAAUGUUCCCAAAUAAACCUCACAGAU
rnacentral:lncRNA from 1 species